GGCCAGGUGGCAGAGUGGUCUAAUGCGCUGCACUCGAAUUAAUAGUGAUAAUUGUUAUGCAGUUCCUUCGGGAGCGUCUGUUCGAAUCAGGCCCUGGUCG